CAGCUUUGUGACGGGACCAGCUGGCUGGUUCCAUGAGGUGACUUCUGCCCAGUGCUCUGAUUGUCAUGGCGAAGAGAUUCAGCCAAGCGCGGGUAAACGGCGGGAGUAACUAUGACUCUCUUAAGGUAGCCAAAUGCCUCGUCAACCAAUUAUUGACGCGCAUGAAUGGAUCAACGAGAUUCCUGCUGUCCCUAGGUGCUGUCCGGUGAACCUACAGCCAAGGGAACGGGCUUGGGCGUGUCAGCGGGGAAAGAAGACCCUGUUGAGUUUGACUCUAGUUUGAUGCUGUGCAACGACAUGUGGGGUGUAGCAUAGGUGGGAGGCAAGUGCCAUCGAUCCCUCCUUCCUCCCAGAAGAGAAUGGAUGGUGCAAACCAGCAGUGAAAUACCACUACCUUCACCGUCGUUUUACUCACUGAGUGGCUUGGGAACAGCGGCCAAUCCAACAGAAGGCAUGCUCCCCUCACGGGGUCCGUGUGCCACGGCCACAUACUGCUUCGUGUGUCAAGUACCGUGCCCCUCUGGGGCUGGUGCGACCCUGGGUUCUACACCCAUCCAAUGACCUUGGUGCCUCGGGACAAUGAUCAGUUGGGGAGUUUGGCUGGGGCGGCACGCCUGUUACAUCACAACGCAGGCGUCCUGAAGCAUUGCUCAGAUGGAACAGAAAUCUUGCACGGAGGAGCAGGCCAAAGGUGCUGCUGAUGCUGCGGCUCCCAGUACGAGCCCAAAACGUGCAAGUGUGGCCUUGCGAUCCUUCGGUCAAGUGUGCAGGUUCUGGAUAUUGAAGCCAGAGGUGUCAGAAAAAUUACCACAGGGAUAACUGGCUUGUGGCUGCCAAGCGUUCAAAGCGACGUCGCUUUUUGAUCCUUCGAUGUCGGCUCUUCCUAGCUUCCCACCCGCAGCUGAGUGGAAGAGUUGGAUUGUUCACCACCAACAGGGAACGUGAGCUGGGUUUA
rnacentral:rRNA from 1 species